rnacentral:rRNA from 1 species
GACGAACGCUGGCGGCGUGCUUAACACAUGCAAGUCGAGCGGUAAGGCCCUUUCGGGGGUACGACGAGCGGCGAACGGGUGAGUAACACGUGGGUGACCUGCCCUUACGCUCUGGGAUAAGCCUGGGAAACUGGGUCUAAUACCGGAUAUGACUCCAUGACGCAUGUUGUGGGGUGGAAAGCCUUGUGCGGCUAGGGAUGGGCCUGCGGCCU